rnacentral:tRNA from 1 species
GCGGAAGUAGUUCAGUGGUAGAACACCACCUUGCCAAGGUGGGGGUCGCGGGUUCGACUCCUCUCGGGCGCGCCA